UACGGAGGGUGCGAGCGUUGUCCGGAAUCACUGGGCGUAAAGGGCGCGUAGGUGGCCUGUGGAAGUCUGCGGUGAAAGCCCGGCGCUCAACCCCGGGUCUGCCGUGCCGACUGUCAAACUCGAGGGCUGUAGAGGCAGACGGAAUUCCGGGUGUAGCGGUGGAAUGCGUAGAGAUCCGGAGGAAGACCGGUGGCGAAGGCGGCUCUCUGGGACGGUACUGACGCUGAGACGCGAAAGCGUGGGGAGCGAACAGG
rnacentral:rRNA from 1 species